ACGUAGGGAGCAAGCGUUGUCCGGAAUUACUGGGCGUAAAGGGCGCGUAGGCGGGUAUUUAAGUCAGAUGUGAAAGCUCCGGGCUCAACUUGGAGAGUGCAUUUGAAACUGGAUAUCUUGAGGGCAGGAGAGGAAAGUGGAAUUCCUAGUGUAGGGGUGGAAGGCGUGGGGAUGAGGAGGAGCACCAGUGGCGAAGGCGGCUUUCUGGGGUGUAGCUGAGGCUGAGGCGCGGGAGGGUGGGGAGGGAGGGG
rnacentral:rRNA from 1 species